rnacentral:rRNA from 1 species
UACAGAGGGGCAAGCGUUGUUCGGAAUUACUGGGCGUAAAGGGCGCGUAGGCGGCCUGUUAAGUCGAACGUGAAAUCCCCGGGCUCAACCCGGGAACUGCGUCCGAUACUGGCAGGCUUGAAUCCGGGAGAGGGAUGUGGAAUUCCAGGUGUAGCGGUGAAAUGCGUAGAUAUCUGGAGGAACACCGGUGGCGAAGGCGGCAUCCUGGACCGGCAUUGACGCUGAGGCGCGAAAGCCAGGGGAGCAAACGGG